UUUUAUAAAGAAAUGUUCGUUCAAAGCUCUCUCCAUCUGAGCUUCGAAGAGGGAAAAGAUAUAGAGAGUUUAGAGAGAAAUUGUGAAGAUUCAAUCCCUUUAGAUCCAAAUUGAUCGGUUUCAGUGAACCCCAAAGCUGAUGAAGAUUCCCAAUCCCACCCCAUUCUUCUUCUUAUUGCUUCAACUUCAAGCUUUUCUGUUUCUCAACUCUCUAUCAAUUGCUUCCUCCCUUAAUCACUCCAUCUCUAACGACGACGACAAUGCCCAUCUAUUGCAGGAUGUUUUGAACGACUUAGCGGCAAAGCAGAAGUGGGAUUUGGAGGGAAUUAAAAUAUUGGAAUUGGAUGUUGAGAGUUUGAGGUUUGGAUUUGCGGAGAGCUAUGAAAUUCGUCUGGGAUUAGGGAAAACUCGGCUGUUGGCUAAAUUUUCCGACGAGGUUUCUUCGUGGAAAAAGCCGAGUUCUGCUAAUCAGACUCGCUUUGGCUCUUUAAUUAAUGGCAUCGGUUCAAUGGCUGCAAUUAGGACGUUCAAAAUUGUGGGUCCUUUUGAUUUGAUGGUUGAAGGGGAAGCUCGUCUUUCUGUCUCGUUACCUAAGAAUGCUACUCAUGUUGGUGUUAAACGAAUUCUGGUGGGAGAAGGUAUAACAGUAGAAGUUAGUGAAGCUGAGGAAGUCUCUGUGUUUUAUUCGUCUGAUCUUUCCAAACUGCUGAACGAAACCAGAAGGAGCAAUGGAAAAAUUAGGACUUACCCCUUCCGGCUUCCAUUUUGCUCACCUUUGCUUCCUCUACGCGUACUCGGCUCUGCAACACUGUCUGCAUAUAGGACACAAAAUCCUGAUGAUUAUAUAAGAACUAGAUUCCUUUCCAAGGAUUCAAUUGAGUUAUUGCCAAACAAAUGCUAUGGUAGAAAUACUCACAUAGAGAAUUCUCCCCUCCUUGGUUCUUUAAAGCCGCAGUUUCAUAUGCUGGAUACUGUUUUUCAACGUUACUUAAGAAAUUGGAUCCUUCAAAAUGGCUUGCUGGCUUUUGUCAAAGUUAAAAUGAGAGCAUGUGUUGUUGUUCGGUUUCAGCUAGAACUAGAAAAUACUUUUGGAACAAAUAGUAGUCUUUACGCCAGAUUGGCAGAGUGGAGAACUAAGCCUACAGUUGAGCGUGCAUCAUUUGAAGUAUUGGCUAGGCUAGAUACAGUGAGGUUGAAGCCUCUUGCGGUUAAGAAGUUAAAGCCUUUGAUUGUGGCCGAUUCAACUGAAUGGAGGAAUCUACUGCCAAAUAUAUCUUUCACCAAGUUUCCAUCUCUUCUCGUCUCUCCCGAAGCACUAACACUGGAUGUCAAAUGGUAAUCAGAAAGUAGUCAGAAAAUAUUCUUCAAGAUUUUAAUUUUUUUUCACAGACCAAGGAAAGAACCCAGGAUCCUUACAUGCUCUCUCGUUAUCUUGUAUACAUACCAAGAUGCACACACCAAGUAGCCAGUAGAAAUACUUCAGAUGAUCUCUAUUCAGGUUGUUACUAGAGCCGGCCAGCUACCAACUCGAUGGUGGUGCCGAAUUCCUGUCGAAAUGCCCGUGAUUCUCUUGGCCGUUGGGACGAUCAUCCUGUAGUGGGAUGAAAGCAAGAGAUGAAAAGGAUAUUCACCUUGGAAUUUGAGGGAGAGGGAUUCUGCCUUUGGACGUGACACUGUAUAAAUUUGCUUUUCAGCACAGAGUUACAGGAAGAUGUUUCGUCGGAUUCUGAAUUGGCGGCAUCCAGUGAGCAUGGUUAGAGUGUUGUUGGAUCAGGAGAAGGUCGUCGCCGGCACGGGCAGCCUCGAUGUAAAUGAAUCAACGACGCGAGCAUGUCAACGGUACUGUUGCAGAAGACAGCUUUGAGGCGAAAAUUCCACAUCCGCUUGGAGGGUAAAUAUGGAUUUUCCUGUUUUUAAUGUUUCUUCAAAACUAAUGCUUUUGACAAGUAGGUUAUAAUUAUAUAUAUAUAUAUAUAUAUUGAAAAGAAA